CACGUAGGGCGCAAGCGUUGUCCGGAAUUAUUGGGCGUAAAGAGCUCGUAGGCGGUCUGUUACGUCUGCUGUGAAAACCCAGGGCUUAACCCUGGGCUUGCAGUGGGUACGGGCAGACUAGAGUGUGGUAGGGGAGACUGGAAUUCCUGGUGUAGCGGUGGAAUGCGCAGAUAUCAGGAGGAACACCGAUGGCGAAGGCAGGUCUCUGGGCCACUACUGACGCUGAGAAGCGAAAGCAUGGGGAGCGAACAGG
rnacentral:rRNA from 1 species